UACAGAGGGUGCAAGCGUUAAUCGGAAUUACUGGGCGUAAAGCGUGCGCAGACGGUUGCGUAAGUCAGAUGUGAAAGCCCCGGGCUCAACCUGGGAAUUGCAUUUGAGACUGCGUAGCUAGGGUGCGGAAGAGGGAAGCGGAAUUUCCGGUGUAGCGGUGAAAUGCGUAGAUAUCGGAAGGAACACCAGUGGCGAAGGCGGGUCUCUGGGCCAUUACUGACGCUGAGGAGCGAAAGCGUGGGGAGCGAACAGG
rnacentral:rRNA from 1 species